rnacentral:rRNA from 1 species
GAUGAACGCUGGCGGCGUGCCUAAUACAUGCAAGUCGAGCGAACAGACGAGGAGCUUGCUCCUCUGACGUUAGCGGCGGACGGGUGAGUAACACGUGGAUAACCCACCUAUAAGACUGGGAUAACAUCGGGAAACCGGAGCUAAUACCGGAUAAUAUAUUUAACCGCAUGGUUCAAUAGUGAAAGACGGUUUUGCUGUCACUUAUAGAUGGAUCCGCGCCGCAUUAGCUAGUUGGUAAGGUAACGGCUUACCAAGGCGACGAUGCGUAGCCGACCUGAGAGGGUGAUCCGCCACCCGGGAGCUGAGACACGGUCCUAACUCCAACGGAAGGCAGCAGUAGGGAAUCUUCCGCAAUGGGCGAAAGCCUGACGUAGCAAGCCCGCGUGAGUGAGGAAAGUCCUCGGAUCGUAAAACUCUGUUAUUAGGGAAGAACAAAUGUGUACGUAACUAUGCUCGUCUUGACGGUACCUAAUCAGAAAGCCACGGCUAACUACGUG